rnacentral:lncRNA from 1 species
AUGUUUGCGGCCCAGUGGCUGCGUGCUGAGCUCGUAUGGCCCCCGUCGUGUCUUUCAGGGAGCCGUGCUGCCCAGGUUGGCCCCAAGGCAGUCUCAGGAUCCCAGGUCCCUGUGGGCAAUGCAUGGGUAAGCCGGCCACCGAUUCCCGAGAGGAAUGCGACUCCUCGGGGACCGACUGUCGUCCACAUUCCAAGGCAGCUAGCGUCCCGGAGAGAGUUCCCUCAGAACGAGCGCGAUCGGCGCAGUGGUGGUCCAAGCGGAGCGCAGCUUGCCCUGUGCCGCAACUCGUGUGCUCCGUGGCCCCCUGUUCUCCGAGAUGGCCCUGUGGGAGCCGUGCUGCCCAGGCUGGCCCCAAGGCAGUCAGGAUCCCAGGUUCAAAAUGAGAACAAGGUGUUGUACUUCAGGGAAGAGAGGUGAGCAACCACUUUGGUACUUUUCAAAUUCUUUUGUGAAUCUGUGGCUGGUGAAGUCAGAAUGUCAAGGUCUACGUGUUCAUUACUUCAGUGGCUUAAAGAGACUAUUUUUUACAGGAGAUAUAUUUCCCCAUGGACGUUUUGACCCUGUUCAAGCAAUCUUCUUUCUUGUUUCUUCCCUUUGUUUAAAUCUCUGUUUGAAGUAACCCACGUAAUUUUGUGAGUCGCGUACCUAUUUCUCCUUUCGCCAUUUUCUAUUAAGAGAAGAUAAUCUUGUCGUAAAAUUUAAGUGUCCUAAAUAUUGAUUUUUUUAUCUUUUUCUGGCACAUUCAGAACAUAGAUGUUUGGAUUCAUAUUUGUAUUGUAAUCAUAUCAUAUAUUACUUCACUACAUCACUUAUUCCUUAAAGUUUCAGUUGAUUUAAAAGUUCAUUUAAAUUAUUCCAGCAGAUUUUUAUCUAAUUUUAUUAGAACAAUCCAGGGUCAUUNNNNNNNNNNGGUUUGCAGAAGAUUAUCCGAUGCACCUCUUUCUUCACCGCCAAUAUUUUUCCCGUUUCCCGGUGAUUCCCUGCAGACUUGCGAAGCUGACCCUGUGGAAGGGCAGUUCACUCCCGUGUGGUUGUCUGCUUUCUUCACUUCCCACUCUAAGAGCAGAGGGCCAGGAGGUCACCCCUUCCCCACCAUUUUUCCCAGUCUGUCUAUUUCUUAGUUUCAAUCACUGGCUGUUAAUAUUUCUUACUGUUGCCAAUGAUAGUGGAUUGAACCAAAGUAAGAAGAUGUUGAAAAGUCAGCCAAAUCAGAAAAAUAACACAAGCAUUCUUUCACUGGGAGACUUUUACACAGCUUCUGAGGAGAAAUGUAUUUUGUGCAACAAUAAUGAAGACUGAAUAAGAAAAUACUCAGAUAUCUUGGUGCAUUUGUAUGCUAAUGAAGGCAAGGAUUCUUGAAGCACAAUUGGCUAUCAUGGAUGUGGACUAUAUAGAAAUAAGAUUACUCCCAGCCAGAUAAAAACGAAUCAUGUGAG